ACUUCUCCACCUGGUCUUCACCCACAACUCCUUUAAAAAAUGCACCUUUCAUUCCAACAGAGAAAGCAUUGUGAGAUUUUUUUUCCCCUAGCGAAUUGCAUUUGUCUUGGGACCUGAAGCCAGAGCUCUAGUAUCCUUUAUUCACAUGGUCCUUUCAUAAACAUCUGAGAUUUCUUGAUGCAGGUUUCUCUUGACAGCUGCGUAACUGUGCCAUAGAAGAGAAAACCAAAGUACAAAAUGACUGUUCCUAAAAACUGACUUGUGUUCAAUUCCUGGGCCAUCCAAUCAUUUGCUCUUAUCCAAAGAUGUUCAUUAACAACAGCUGUUCUUGAAUAUUUAUGACAUAUCAGGUCCUGUUCUAGGUGCCUUACAGGAGAGCCAAUUUACACGCUCAACAAAUUUGUUGUUUUCAGCCUGGGAAUCGGAGGCACAGAGAAGUAAAUUUUGUGGAGACUGUACUCUCACCCCCUCUCCCCUCCUGCCAAAAUGCCACUGAUUGCAAAGGCUCCAGCUCUCAGUUCUCCCUUUGGAAUUUUUGGCCUACAUUUCCAGCUGCCUAUGAGGUGCCUCCACCUGGAUGUCCUAAGAAUGCAGAGAAAGUGUGCCAUUUCAAGCCCCAAUUCCCUGUGGCUUUUGUCCCCCUCCACAAUAAAUUGUACAGCCGCUCUGGAAAACUGUGUAGAGGUUCCUCAAAGAGUUAAAAAUAGAGCCAACCUACGACCCAGCAAUUGCACUACUGGGGAUUUACCCCAAAGAUACAGAUGCAGUGAAAAGCUGAGACACCUAUACCCCAAUGCUUAUAGCAGCAAUGUCCACAAUAGCCAAACUAUGGAAGGAGCCUUGGUGUCCACUGAAAGAUAAAUGGAUAAAGAAGAUGUGGUCUCUGUAUACUGUGGAAUAUUCCUCAGCCAUUAGAAACGACGAAUACCCACCAUUUGCUUCGACAUGGAUAGAACUGGAGGGUAUUAUGCUGAGUGAAGUAAGUCAAUUGGAGAAGAACAAACAUUAUAUGAUUUCACUCAUAUGGGAAUAUAAAAAAUAGCGAAAGGGAUCAUAGGGGAAAGGAGAGAAAAUGAGUGGAAAAAAUCAGAGAGGGUGACAAAACAUGAGAGACUCUUAACUCUGGGAAAUGAA
rnacentral:lncRNA from 1 species